GGGUCAGUAGGUUGGUCGUGCCACCGGUACGUACUGGUCUCACUGAUUCCUCCUUCCUGAAGAGCCGUAAUGCCAUUAAUUUGGUGUUGCGGGGAAACAGGACUGUUACUUUGAAAAAAUUAGAGUGUUUAAAGCAAGCUAACGCUUGAAUACAUUAGCAUGAAAUAAUGAAAUAGGACGAUCGAUCCUAUUUUGUUGGUUUCUAGGAUUGACGUA
rnacentral:rRNA from 1 species